rnacentral:rRNA from 1 species
UGCGUCCUACGGGAGGCAGCAGUGGGGGGUAUUGCACAAUGGGGGGAACCCUGAUGCAGCGACGCCGCGUGGAUGAAGGAGUGCUUCGGCAUGUAAAGCCCUAUCGGCAGGGAAGAAGCAAGACGGUACCUGACUAAGAAGCCCCGGCUAACUACGUGCCAGCAGCCGCGGUAAUACGUUGGGGGCGAGCGUUAUCCGGAUUCACUGGGUGUAAAGGGAGCGUAGACGGCC